UUACCACAAAGAUAUCCCAACACAUAAUUGAUAAUUUAUAGUUGUUAUGAUUUUCAUAUUUGUUUCAGAUAAAUAAAACAACUGCAUAUGAUUAAUGACUGAGAAGAGAGCUCUACAGGAGAUGGAAGAUUUAACAAGUGGAUCCACCAGGAUGAAACUCAAACCUUUGCCUUAGAGAACCUUAGCAUGGUAGCACAAAACAGAAAAAGGCAUCCUGGGAGAUGUGUCGUCUGAAGGAGUGGAGGAGCACAUCUUGGAACAAAAAGAAGAGCUCAGAAUUCCAGCUGUCCUUCAACAACAAGAAGAAACCCCGCCUCCAGAGGUUCAACACAAAUACAG